UCGUAACAAGGUUUCCGUAGGUGAACCUGCGGAAGGAUCAUUAUCGAAGAAACACUCUUCAUACACACCUGUGAACUGUCGCCUCUCGGGGCGCUAUUACAAACUCUUAUGUCGUCUAUGAAUGUCUAUGUUAUAUCUUAACAAAAUACAACUUUCAACAACGGAUCUCUUGGCUCCCACAUCGAUGAAGAACGCAGCGAAAUGCGAUAAUUAAUGUGAAUUGCAGAACCUAGUGAACCAUCGAGUUUUUGAACGCACCUUGCACUUUCCGGUCCUCCGGAAAGUAUGCCGGUUUGAGCGCCUUAUCAUCCUUGCACUCGCAAUGUUUGUUCAUUGUGUUUGCAGAUUUGAGUGUCUUUGCUGUCUUACCCCAGCUCACUCUGAAUGCAUUAGCAACCUGAAUAGCUUGAAGCAACGUGAUAAGUAUCUUCGUUGUAACAAGUUUGAAGGAUGCUUCAAAUCGUCCUCGGACAAUACCAAAUGCUAGGCAUCAAACUGGUAGGAUUACCCGCUGAACUUAAGCAUAUCAA
rnacentral:sRNA from 1 species